UCAGCAAGUGCUUAUAAUAAGCUUUCGGAAAACGUAAUGAGGAGGAUGAUUUCUCUUCAGUUCUUGGCUCUGUGGUAGAACACAACAAUAGGGUGUCAUCAGAAUAAAAGUUUGAAUCAGGACAUCUCAUUUGAUUCCUUUCAUUAGUGUUUAGGGAGCAGACGGUUGUUGUGACAGCUGGUCAGUAGUGAUUCAAUUAUGUGCUCCAUUCUCUGGACUUCAGUUCGAGAUGUCCUUUGGCAAGCUGAGCAACUGCUUGAUAGAGGAUGCAAAGGACAUGACUGAUUUUGCUAAAUUUGUCAUGCAGCAUGCCUUUGAAGGUGCACUACAAGCUGUGGAACAUCCAUUUCACCAAAGGUUCCCAUUUAGUUCUCCUCCCUCUUGCGUAGUGAAAGUGAUCUGUAACACAUGCACACACCACUCAGCAUGUGAAAUUGUAUAGGCCAAAAUGAGAGGAAAUCCAGACUCACAAGUGCUAAGGACUCAGAGAUGGAUAUGUCCUGAUGUAAUGUCACUUUGUUAACGAUCACAUCUCAAGAGAGGGAACUCGUAAAGGAGCAUUUCUCUGAGAAUAUCACAUCAGGCCUGCAAUUGUACAGGAAAAGUCAUAGAGGGUCCCCCAAAGAGUUCCAGUAAUAUCACUAAGAUCAGAUGCCUUAGGAUGUUUAGGGCGGGAAUCGCUGUGGCUUACCAGGAGACACCAGGUGUGAUGACCCCUCUGCAAGUAUGCACAGACAUUCAGUAUGCAGGUAAAAUCAUCAUCCUCAAGAAAAAUUCAGGCGGAAGCACCUUACCACCCAACAGGCUUUUAAGCAUAGAAUCAGAAUCCUACUGGAGAAGUUUGCACUAUGAAAACAGUUACAAUAUGAAGUUGCUCACAGGCAGGUAAAAGCCAUCACAUCUACAGAUGCGGACAAAGGUACUAAUGUCCAUGUGAUUUCCAUAGUAUUCUUAAUUAGCUUGGAAGGUACAUCAGACUGGCAAGAUGACUGCAAAAGAAUAAUUUUUCUACCCAAAGCAUAUAGUCUUUGGAAAAACUGUUCAAUUCCUGGUUUUCAUCUGCCUUUAAUAACCUUAGUGAGCUGUUUAAAAGUAAAUCUGUGAAUCAAAUUUAUUUUGUAAUUAAAAAGUGAGUUUUAAAUAUGAUUUGAUUAAACAAAGCUCCUCUUUCCAUCUAAGGUUUCAAGUGAAAUUCUGCCUUCUUACACAGACCACAAAAUGAGAACCUUGUAAAUCAAAAUAAUACCAUGAAGAGCAGUAUUUCUUAACAACACUUAUGUGAUAGGAAGAAUGGCCAACUUUUUGGAAAACUUUAUUAUUAAAAAGCCUGAAACCUUCUUCAAAAGAACAAUUUGCCUCUGUAUGUAUUGGAUGAGUAGUAAAAUAUUUUGCACCUGACAUGAUUCUCUAUAUAUUUUAGAUCAAAAAUUUAGUAAUCUAGUUAAAAAGGAGCAUGCAGACAUUUUUAAGGAUUAAAUCACACUCAUUGGGAAAAAAUAUAUUUAAAAAAUCACUUUUAUCGGCAUCAUGAAACGUAAUACCAAUUGUCAUUCACACACAUACACACACACCUUUCUUUGUACUACUGUUCUUUCUUUGUACUACUGUUUGGGUUUUUUAUCCCUUACUCAUUUCACUGUAAUUUGGCACCAAACAACACAACUGCAUUCAUUGUUCAAAGCCAUGCUCUUUUACUUCACCUUCAGAGGCACAAGCAUGAGGCCCUCCUGCAGUCUUCCAUGCCUUUCUGUUCCACACUGGAAAGGAAAACACACUAACAU